GCCCAGUUAGCUCAGUCUGUAGAACAUGAAUCUCAUGGUUGUGGGUUUGAAUCCCACAUUAGGCA
rnacentral:tRNA from 1 species